rnacentral:rRNA from 1 species
GGAAUAUUGGACAAUGGGGGCAACCCUGAUCCAGCAAUGCCGCGUGAGUGAUGAAGGCCUUAGGGUUGUAAAGCUCUUUCGACGGGGACGAUGAUGACGGUACCCGUAGAAGAAGCCCCGGCUAACUUCGUGCCAGCAGCCGCGGUAAUACGAAGGGGGCUAGCGUUGUUCGGAAUUACUGGGCGUAAAGGGCGCGUAGGCGGUCUUGUAAGUCAGAUGUGAAAGCCCCGGGCUCAACCCGGGAAUAGCAUUUGAUACUGCAAGGCUUGAGUCCGGGAGAGGAUGGCGGAAUUCCCAGUGUAGAGGUGAAAUUCGUAGAUAUUGGGAAGAACACCGGUGGCGAAGGCGGCCAUCUGGACCGGUACUGACGCUGAGGCGCGAAAGCGUGGGGAGCAAAC